rnacentral:rRNA from 1 species
UACAGAGGUCCCAAGCGUUACUGAGAAUCACUGGGUUUAAAGGGUGCGUAGGUGGUCCGUUAAGUCAGUUGUGAAAUCCCCGGGCUCAACCCGGGAAAUGCUUCUGAUACUGGCGGACUUGAGGCCAGUAGGGGUCACUAGAACUGACGGUGGAGCGGUGAAAUGCGUAGAUAUCGUCAGGAAUGCCGGUGGUGAAGACGGGUGACUGGGCUGGUUCUGACACUGAGGCACGAAAGCGUGGGGGAGCGAACGGGG